CUGAAUACUUAUCUCUUCAUUGAGUAACCAGCCAAGCAAUACUCUUCCCCUCACCCUCUUCUCUUGUGCGCUGAAUAGAGUAGAUAAGUUUACUUGUUGGAUUUUGGUUCAGCCUAGUGUUAAACAAUAUAGAUUUCCCUCUUCCCAUGCGCUUGCAAGCGAACAAUCAAGCUGAGUUAUCCUCUUAAUUUAGAACCACCGUGAACCACAUUCCCUCCUUUCCCCAACCGUGGGUGCUCUUAGGAGAGCACCAAGAACCGGGUCUGUAUCCUCUUCCUUUCACCCCUUCCACAAAUCUGUGAAGCCACAUGAGGAGACAAGCAAAUUCAUAACCAUGUUCUCCUCCUCUUUUCUGGUUCAACCGUGGACUCAAUGCAAGGAGGUGAGGCAAUUUUGGUAGCACCUCGCGUCUCACAACUUCGAUCAGUUCCAUUUGAGUUUUUCCCUGUUGCAUGUGUAUAAUGCUGCCGUGAUUGGAUCAUCCCCUCCAUUGCAUGCAACUGAAAUGAUUUGCUUGGAGCCUUGGAGGUGGGAGGCUGCUGUUUCGUAAUGGAUAGGCUAGCGUUCGGUACUGCAAGGAGGUGCGAUUAACUCUUAAGUGAGUGGACUGAAUUUUGGUGAUUCGCUUGAUUAAAAAGUUGGACACACCAAGGUUCUGUUUAAUUGUUGCUGCUGUUUUGGGAAUUUUGAUGAUGACAUGCUGUUUCUGUUGAUUGUUGGCUGAUCACUCUAGUAGGCUGUAAUAUUUUGAGAUGCUGGAAGAAAAUGUUAGAACAUGCCUUAAUCUGUUGUAUUUGGAUUUUUAUAGUUAGUUUGUAAAUUGUAAGAUUCUGGUCAUAUUUUGCAAAAAUAUUUUAUGUACGUUUUGAAUUCUGCCUUUUAAACUGUUUUCGCGAGCACUUUGCGAGUUCCGUUUCUGGGGCUACAGACCUCCGAUUGGAGUAUAAUUUAUAUGCACUUAAAGCCCCAGAUGUCUAGUUUCAU